rnacentral:lncRNA from 1 species
UCCCUCCCGUAAAUAUUUUUCCCACCUAUUGUGCAUGAAUCUGAUUUGAGCGACGGAGGAUUUCCAUCGGAGCCACCUUCGAUGGGGCUUUUCUUGCAGAUCCGACCAUUGUCGAUCCGUCGGACGGUGCCUCGCUUUGGUGCCUCCGAUCUCGGACAGAUUUUUGCAUCAACAGAUUGGCGCUAGAGAAAGGACGACUGCCUGCUUUUGGAAGAGAGCAUCCUAUCCAUUGUUAUACUGCCGCGAAGAGCUUCCUCAUCGACGAGAUUUUUGGUCGGAGAUCAAACUUCAUGUUAUCUAUUGGAGGCGUCCCACAACUCACUC